rnacentral:rRNA from 1 species
AGAGUUUGAUCAUGGCUCAGAUUGAACGCUGGCGGCAGGCCUAGCACAUGCAAGUCGAGCGGUAGCACAAGAGAGCUUGCUCUCUGGGUGACGAGCGGCGGACGGGUGAGUAAUGUCUGGGGAACUGCCUGAUGGAGGGGGAUAACUACUGGAAACGGUAGCUAAUACCGCAUAACGUCUUCGGACCAAAGUGGGGGACCUUCGGGCCUCACGCCAUCAGAUGUGCCCAGAUGGGAUUAGCUAGUAGGUGGGGUAAUGGCUCACCUAGGCGACGAUCCCUAGCUGGUCUGAGAGGAUGACCAGCCACACUGGAACUGAGACACGGUCCAGACUCCUACGGGAGGCAGCAGUGGGGAAUAUUGCACAAUGGGCGCAAGCCUGAUGCAGCCACGCCGCGUGUGUGAAGAAGGCCUUCGGGUUGUAAAGCACUUUCAGCGAGGAGGAAGGGUAGUGUGUUAAUAGCACAUUGCAUUGACGUUACUCGCAGAAGAAGCACCGGCUAACUCCGUGCCAGCAGCCGCGGUAAUACGGAGGGUGCAAGCGCUAAUCGGAAUUACUGGGCGUAAAGCGCACGCAGGCGGUUUGUUAAGUCAGAUGUGAAAUCCCCGCGCUUAACGUGGGAACUGCAUUUGAAACUGGCAAGCUAGAGUCUUGUAGAGGGGGGUAGAAUUCCAGGUGUAGCGGUGAAAUGCGUAGAGAUCUGGAGGAAUACCGGUGGCGAAGGCGGCCCCCUGGACAAAGACUGACGCUCAGGUGCGAAAGCGUGGGGAGCAAACAGGAUUAGAUACCCUGGUAGUCC